rnacentral:rRNA from 1 species
CUAUGGUUUAUUGGAUCGUACCCGUUAAAUGGAUAACUGUAAUAACUCUAGAGCUAAUACAUGCCUUGAUGCCCUGACUCCUUGUGGGAAAGGGUGCACUUAUUAGAUCAGAAGCCAACCGUGUAUGCCGCAAGGUGUGCGCGUUGUCCUUCUGGUGACUCUGGAUAAUUGUUACAGAUCGCAGUCGGCCUUGUGUCGGCGACGGGUCCUUCAAAUGUCUGCCCUAUCAACUGUCGAUGGUAGGUGACCUGCCUACCAUGGUGAUAACGGGUAACGGGGAAUCAGGGUUCGAUUCCGGAGAGGGAGCCUGAGAAACGGCUACCACUUCCAAGGGAGGCAGCAGGCGCGCAAAUUACCCACUCCCAGCACGGGGAGGUGGUGACGAAAAAUACCGAUGCGGGACUCACCAAAGAGGCUCCGUAAUCGGAAUGAGUGAACUCUAAAUCCUUUCACGAGGAUCAAUUGGAGGGCAAGUCUGGUGCCAGCAGCCGCGGUAACUCCAGCUCCAAUAGCGUAUAUUAAAGUUGCUGCAGUUAAAAAGCUCGUAGUUGGAUCUCGGUAUCACUGGGGCGUGCGGACGGGACCUUUGCCGUCGUCUGGCUGAGACAAAAUCGUCGAGGCUGCGGCGCCUUGGAACCUGAAGUAAUAGUCCUGGUGUCACCUUUCAGCCAUGUCUGUGGUGAAAUACCCGCAGGUGUAGGCGAGUGUCAGGCGGUGCUUUGCCUUAGUGUAAGGCCCGUCGGCUCGUUUGCAUGCCUUUGGAUGCACUUAAGUGUGUGUCCGAGGCGGAUGGCACGUUUACUUUGAACAAAUUUGAGUGCUCAAACCAGGCCGAUGUUGCCUGAAAAGUUUUGCAUGGAAUAAUGGAAUAGGACUUCGGUUCUAUUUCGUUGGUUUUCGGAUCCGAAGUAAUGAUCAAAAGAGACAGGCGGGGACGUUUGUAUGGCUGCGCUAGAGGUGAAAUUCAUGGACCGUAGCCAGACAAACUAAAGCGAAAGCAUUCGUCAAGCAUGUUUUCAUUGGCCAUGAGCGAAAGUCAGAGGCUCGAAGACGAUCAGAUACCGUCCUAGUUCUGACCAUAAACGAUGCCAACUGACGAUCCGUGGUGGUAGUAUUAAGACCUUCCCCACGGGCAGUCCCCGGGAAACCAUUAAGUCUUUGGGUUCCGGGGGAAGUAUGGUUGCAAAGCUGAAACUUAAAGGAAUUGACGGAAGGGCACCACCAGGAGUGGAGCCUGCGGCUUAAUUUGACUCAACACGGGAAAACUCACCCGGCCCGGACACUGUGAGGAUUGACAGAUUGAUAGCUCUUUCUUGAUUCAGUGGUUGGUGGUGCAUGGCCGUUCUUAGUUGGUGGAGCGAUUUGUCUGGUUAAUUCCGAUAACGAACGAGACUCCAGCCUGCUAAUUAGUGUGUCCGUCCUCUGUACCUGUGUAGGCGGCGUUCGACAAGGCUGCUAUCCGUUUGCUCGAGUUGCGGUGCUGCGCAAGUGGUGCUGUGACGAGGGUUAGGUGGCUGGCUGGCUCGACGUUAGCUUCCGGGCACGGCGCGGAUACCUACUUCUUAGAGGGACAAGCGGGAAAAGCCGCACGAAAUUGAGCAAUAACAGGUCUGUGAUGCCCUUAGAUGUCCGGGGCCGCACGCGCGCUACAAUGACGGUGCCAACGAGUCUGACCUUCUGGCCCGAAAGGGUUGGGUAAACUGGUCAAUCACCGUCAUGACAGGGAUCGGGGCUUGGAAUUGUUCCCCGUGAACGAGGAAUUCCUAGUAAGUGCAAGUCAUAAGCUUGCGCUGAUUACGUCCCUGCCCUUUGUACACACCGCCCGUCGCUACUACCGAUUGAAUGGUUUAGUAAGGUCCUUGGAUUGGCGCCAUUGUGGCGGUCGCCGAAAGGUAGCCGUCCGACGUGUGCUGAGAAGACGACCAAACUUGAUCAUUUAGAGGAAGUAAAAGUCGUAACAAG